UACGUAGGGGGCAAGCGUUGUCCGGAUUUAUUAGGCGUAAAGCGCGCGCAGGCGGUCUUUUAAGUCUGAUGUGAAAGCCCACGGCUCAACCGUGGAAGGUCAUUGGAAACUGGGAGACUUGAGUGUAGGAGAGGAAAGUGGAAUUCCACGUGUAGCGGUGAAAUGCGUAGAGAUGUGGAGGAACACCAGUGGCGAAGGCGGCUUUCUGGCCUAUAACUGACGCUGAGGCGCGAAAGCGUGGGGAGCAAACAGG
rnacentral:rRNA from 1 species